rnacentral:lncRNA from 1 species
CCGAAGGGUGGCUGGAUCGCAGUGCCUCCUUGGACGUGACACCGAUUGGAUGCAUUCGCCGGAAGGCUAAGGGCGAUGCCAUGUGAGUUGCACACGUGCACCUCGCUUGCUUCGGUACAAUCGGUUCUAUGUUACCCAGAAAAAAAAUCGGUUUUAUGUUGAAUGGGAAUAACCCACCACCUAAACACACAUGAAUUCAAAAAUAGAAACACAUAGAUAAAUAAUGAACUCAAAGUAUUUCACUUUAUUUCGUUUGGUUCGGGUCUGGUGAGCGGUUUAAAAUUGCCCUCCCCUACUUCCAUCUUCCGAAAAUGCUCCAACAAAAACAAAUUGUGACCUUCGGUGUUAUUUACUGUUACAAAAAUAUCACUGCCGCUGCUUUGUGAAAUUCACCACGCCAAUAAGUCUGUCAGGAAGCUGAAGCCUCCCCAUUCAUUACGUACUCAAGAAAUAGCUAAAUGCAUCAGUGGGACAUUUGCUACUGUUUUCAUCAUGUCGAACGAAAUUCCCACAAAGCUUCCGCCGACCACAUCAGACGUUGAAUUGAAAUACACUUUCAGAGAACUGAUUGGUUCUUAGGAAACAGGAGUUAGUGACCGCCUAUGUCAGUAAAUGGUUAGGGGCGAACUAUUCCUAAGGCGAGAUCGACAGCUGCAACAUCAGGGGGCACUAAUUAGAUCCAAUGGACUCUGCAAACAGCAGCAAGUGGACCGGGAUACACAACUACUGUCGGAUCACCUUUCCAGUUCCAUCUUCUUUCCAGAUUUCGGGACUAGAUUGCCAGCACGCUCUUUGUUUCAUGGCCAUCACCUUAACAUUUGCCCAAAAAGAUCUUGCUUGGCCAUCAUCAUCUGGACCAGUUUCAACUUGUGUACCUUGUACAUUAAUUACAUCUCUCUUUCAUACAUGUAACAACGGGUGCAAAGACCCGUAAGUGAAAAUCUCUCUCAAAUUAAAAGAAGAUAAAAAAAGAAAG